GGAGAGGUGCCAGAGCGGUCGAUCGGGGCGGUCUCGAAAACCGUUGUACCUUUACGGGUACCGGGGGUUCGAAUCCCCCCCUCUCCG
rnacentral:tRNA from 1 species